AUUGAACGCUGGCGGCAGGCUUAACACAUGCAAGUCGAACGAGUGGCGGACGGGUGAGUCAUGCUUGGGCAUCUCGCUUAUGGAGGGGGAUAACUACGGGAAACUGUAGCUAAUAACGCGUACCAUAGUAUGAGCCCAUGGGGGAUUAGGUAGUUUGUGAGGUAACGGCUCACCAAGCCGACGAUCUCUAGCGGGUCUGAGAGGAUGACCGGCCACACUGGGACUGAGACACGGCCCAGACUCCUACGGGAGGCAGCAGUGGGGAAUAUUGCGCAAUGGGGGCAAGCCUGACGCAGCCAUGCCGCGUGUAUGAAGAAGGCCUUAGGGUUGUAAAGUACUUUCAGCGGGGAGGCGUUACCCGCAGAAGAAGCACCGGCUAACUCCGUGCCAGCAGCCGCGGUAAUUC
rnacentral:rRNA from 1 species